CGGCGAGCGAACGCGGAGAAGCCCAAUUAAGUUGCGUAUGAGCUAGUAGAACAUCCUGGGAAGGGUGGCCAUAGAGGGUGAUAGCCCCGUAUACGAAAGCCAUACACAAUGAAUCGAGUAGGGCGGGACACGUGAAAUCCUGUCUGAACAUGGGGGGACCAUCCUCCAAGGCUAAAUACUCGUUGUCGACCGAUAGUGAACCAGUACCGUGAGGGAAAGGCGAAAAGAACCCUGGUGAAGGGAGUGAAAUAGAACCUGAAACCGUGUGCAUACAAGCAGUCAGAGCAUAUGAAGAUAUGUGAUGGCGUACCUUUUGUAUAAUGGGUCAGCGAGUUACAUUCAGUGGCGAGGUUAACCGAAUAGGGGAGCCGUAGCGAAAGCGAGUCUUAAUAGGGCGAUAAGUCUCUGGGUGUAGACCCGAAACCGGGCGAUCUAUCCAUGGGCAGGUUGAAGGUUGAGUAACAUCAACUGGAGGACCGAACCCACGCAUGUUGAAAAAUGCGGGGAUGACCUGUGGAUAGGAGUGAAAGGCUAAACAAGCUCGGAGAUAGCUGGUUCUCCCCGAAAACUAUUGAGGUAGUGCCUUGUAGAUUGACUUACGGGGGUAGAGCACUGUUUCGGCUAGGGGGUCAUACCGACUUACCAACCCGAUGCAAACUCCGAAUACCGUAAAGUUUUACUACAGGAGACACACGGCGGGUGCUAACGUCCGUCGUGAAGAGGGAAACAACCCAGACCGCCAGCUAAGGUCCCGAAAUGACAGUUCAGUGGGAAACGAAGUGGGAAGGCUUAGACAGCUAGGAGGUUGGCUUAGAAGCAGCCAUCCUUUAAAGAAAGCGUAAUAGCUCACUAGUCGAGUCGUCCUGCGCGGAAGAUUUACCGGGGCUAAACUGUCUACCGAAGCUGCGGAUUUGCAUGAAGAUGCAAGUGGUAGGGGAGCGUUGUGUAAGCCGAAGAAGGUGUGUUGAGAAGCAUGCUGGAGGUAUCACAAGUGCGAAUGCUGACAUGAGUAACGAUAAUGCGGGUGAAAAACCCGCACACCGAAAACCCAAGGUUUCCUGCGCAACGCUAAUCGGCGCAGGGUGAGUCGGCCCCUAAGGCGAGGCGGAAACGCGUAGUCGAUGGGAAACAGGUUAAUAUUCCUGUACUGAUCAUAAUUGCGAUGGGGGGACGGAGAAAGCUAGGCCAGCACACUGUUGGAUGUGUGUUUAAGCGCGUAGGUUGGGGACUUAGGCAAAUCCGGGUUCCUAAGACUGAAACGUGAUGACGAGUUUCUACGGAAACGAAGUGGUUGAUGCUCUGCUUCCAGGAAAAGCCUCUAAGCUUCAGAUUAUGACAACCGUACCCCAAACCGACACAGGUGGGUAGGAAGAGAAUUCCAAGGUGCUUGAGAGAACUCGGGUAAAGGAACUCGGCAAAAUGAUACCGUAACUUCGGGAUAAGGUAUGCCUCUGAUGGUGAAUAGCUGUUGGAGGCCGCAGAGAAUAGGCCGCUGCGACUGUUUAUCAAAAACACAGCACUCUGCAAACACGCAAGUGGACGUAUAGGGUGUGACGCCUGCCCGGUGCCGGAAGGUUAAUUGAUGGGGUGCAAGCUCUUGAUCGAAGCCCCGGUAAACGGCGGCCGUAACUAUAACGGUCCUAAGGUAGCGAAAUUCCUUGUCGGGU
rnacentral:rRNA from 1 species